UACGUAGGGAGCAAGCGUUGUUCGGAUUUACUGGGCGUAAAGGGCGCGUAGGCGGCAAAUUAAGUCAGCUGUGAAAUCUCCGAGCUUAACUCGGAACGGUCAGCUGAUACUGAUCUGCUAGGGUGCGGAAGGGGCAAUCGGAAUUCUUGGUGUAGCGGUGAAAUGCGUAGAUAUCAAGAGGAACACCUGAGGUGAAGACGGGUUGCUGGGCCGACACUGACGCUGAGUGCGCGAAAGCCAGGGGAGCAAACGGG
rnacentral:rRNA from 1 species